GUUGUGUUUGUUGAUGAGCAGAUGUGUGCCUGGAAAAAGCCGGAGUAUGUUCAGCCGGAACAGGUUCCUUAUGAUGAGCACAGGUACAGAGCCCAACAGCAUGGGGGCCAGUACGGGGGCCACUGUAAAAGUGGCCCUACGGUAUUUAAUGAUGUCAGGCAUGGGGCACCAAACAUUGAGGACC
rnacentral:lncRNA from 1 species